GCUCCCAUGGUGUAGUGGUCACUGUGCUCGCCUUACACGCGAGAGACCUGGGUUCGAUUCCAGGCGGGAUCA
rnacentral:tRNA from 1 species